CUCAUUCUCAUUCUCAUACGUUUCAAUUCCUUAACUUUUUUGCUUGUACCCAAAACUCUGGAAUCCAAUGAGAAAGCCUUGUUGUGAUAAGCAAGACACCAACAAAGGCGCUUGGUCUAAGCAAGAAGACCAGAAGCUCAUUGAUUACAUUCGUAAACAUGGGGAAGGUUGCUGGCGAACCCUCCCUCAAGCUGCAGGACUGCUUCGCUGUGGCAAAAGUUGUAGGCUGAGAUGGAUAAACUAUCUUAGGCCUGACCUUAAAAGAGGAAACUUUGCUGAAGAUGAAGAGGACCUUAUUAUCAAGCUUCAUGCGCUUCUCGGAAACAGGUGGUCUCUAAUAGCUGGAAGAUUGCCUGGACGCACCGACAAUGAAGUAAAGAAUUACUGGAAUUCACAUUUAAGAAGAAAGCUUAUGAACAUGGGAAUUGAUCCGAAUAACCAUCGUUUGAACCAAAAUCUUCCUCGUCUUCAAAACCCACAAGACUCUUCUAGUGCAACGUCCUCUGGUAUGAAAAGUGACACCACCAAACCCCACAAUGAUAAUAAUAAUAAUAAUAGUAAUGAGCAAGCAUCUGAUGCAGCUAGUUGUUUGGAGGAUGGCCCAAGUGCUUUGCCUGACCUAAACCUUGACCUCACAAUGAGCAUUCCUUCCUCUACAUCUGCCAAUAUCAGUCCUGAAGAGAAGCAAAAGAUUACUGAAUCUAAUUUAUCAAAGGAACCAGAAGUUGCUGCUGCUUCUCCUACGCUUCUCCUCUUUCAGUAAUUACCUGCUGCUCUUGUAAGGACCAUCCUAAUGAGGUGGAACUGAUAUAGAUAGAUAAUUGGGAUAUGUCUUCUCACUGUAAAUCUUUGAUUGUUUGGAAAAAUAUGGCAAUCC
rnacentral:misc_RNA from 1 species